rnacentral:rRNA from 1 species
GUAGAAAUAAUAAUUCUUAAAAAAACUAAAAGGACGCGGUAACCUUGACCGUGAUAAUGUAGCAUAAUCACUCGCCAUUUAAUUGAUGGAUAGUAUGAAUGGUUGAACGAAUAUUCCCCUGUCUUAGACAAAAUAAUAAAAAAUUGAAAUAAUAGUUAAGAUGCUAUUUUUUACUGUAAGACGAAAAGACCCUAUAGAGCUUAACUAUAACCUUUUUAUAUAAAAAGAAAAUAAAUUCUAUACUUAAAAAGGUUGGUAGUUUAGUUGGGGCGACUGUCUUCUAUAUUGAACGAAGACAAGCAAUGUUAAUAAAAAACUUAUUGUAUAACAAAAAUGUUUAACAAUUAUAAAAAUAGGCUAUAAUGACCCGUUAAUACUUAAUAAAAAGAAUAACGAUUAAUUAAUAAAAGCUACCUUAGGGAUAACAGGAUUAUUUCAUUUCAGAGUUCAUAUCAAAAAUGAAGUUUGUCACCUCUAUGUUGAAUUAAGAUAUCCUGAUAAUGCAGAAGUUAUCAAA